rnacentral:rRNA from 1 species
AAUGAACGCUGGCGGCAUGCCUAACACAUGCAAGUCGAACGAGACCUUCGGGUCUAGUGGCGCACGGGUGCGUAACGCGCAGGAACCUGCCCUAGGGCUCGGAAUAACAGUGAGAAAUUACUGCUAAUAACGGAUGAUGUCUUCGGACCAAAGAUUUAUCGCCCAGGGAUGAGCCCGCGUAGGAUUAGCUAGAUGGUGGGGUAAUGGCCUACCAAGGCUAAGCUCCUUAGCUGGUCUGAGAGGAUGAUCAGCCACACUGGUACUGAGACACGGCCCAGAAUCCGGAGGCAGGCAGCAGUGGGGACUAUUGGACAAGGGACGAAAGCCGGAUCCAGCAAUGCCGCGUGAGUGAUGAAGGCCUUAGGGUUGUAUAGCUCUUUUACCCUGGAUGAUACUGGCAGUACCGUGAGAAUAAGCUCCGGCUGACUCCGUG